AAUUGUAUCAUAAACUUUUGCACAAUCCCCUAUCUGACUUAAGUAUCGGAGGGGCGACGAGCACACACCUCAUUGUCUUUAUUUCAGGUACCGGAAGGCGCAGUUCGUGUUUCAUCUCAAUCCUCAAGCUCGGGAUCUACCAGGUACAAUUUUUGGUAGUAUCAUUGGCGUCGUCUGUGAGAAGCACUACCAAAAGCCAUGGUGAAUACACGAUCAAGUCUUCCACAAGCAAGCUCAUCUGUUCCAAAUCCUCCCCCAUUUCAAAUCAUCCUAUUCCUCAAGAGGAAUCAUCAGAGAUGCCAGCACCACCACCUGCUGUUAUUACCGCAGGAGCUUACGAAGAGCUCCGCCAACAACUUACCACAUUAACUCAGUUGUUAAGCUGAAGGAACUCACACCCAUUGCAUACACCGACACCGGACGGUGAUCUGAUGGCAGCUGCUCGAGCUCGAGUUAGGGCUUCACAAAAUAUUCUAGGUAACGGUGUUGGAACCUCGAGUGUACCUCCGAUGACCGCGGCCUCAAGGGCAGUAAUGAUGAAAUCAGGUGAACUUGCCAGAAUCAUCCAAGAAAGAAUUACCACGGGCCUAGCACAAAAAGCUAAGGGGGCAACAGGCUUUACCCCUAGCACUCCCUUUACUCCUGAAAUAUUAUCCUUCCCUCUACCUGACAGGUUCAAGUACCCCCGUGUGAAAGAGUAUGAUGGUACUACCGACCCUAUCAACCAUCUGAACAUUUAUACCGACGUCAUGAGUCUCCAAGUUGCCCCUGAUCGAGUUAUGUGUAGAGCUUUUCCUCAAACGUUGACCAACGCAGCCCGAGACUGGUUUUCAACUUUGGAGCCAGACUCCAUAGCCUCUUUCUCGGAUCUAGCCGACAAGUUCUCCUCCUUUUUCGCCAGCAGCAAGCGCAUCAGGAAAACAGCAGCUUCUCUCAUGCAACUUCGAUAAAUCCCUUCGAAACUUCAUGACCAGAUUCAACAAGGAAAGACUCCAGAUUCCAGACCUCCAUAUCACAGCCACAGUCUCAGCCUUAACACAUGCCAUAAGGUGUGAAGCGUUCAAGAUGUCUCUAUUAAAGGCCCCUCCAAUGUCAGUAACCGACCUACUUACUUGAGCCGAGAAGUACAUCAACAUGGAAGAGACUAUGUUUCUAAAGAAGUACAUCAACAUGGAAGAGACUAUGUUUCCAAAGAGAGAUGCCCCUCCAUCAGCUAAGCCUGAGCUUAAAAGGCAGCAUGAGCUUAAUCUACAUCAAGAUCAGCUUCGGGGUAAGACAAGGCAUGAUAACCCUUCAGCAGCCUUUACUCGCCUGAAAACCACAAGAUCUAACAUUUUGAUGGAGAUCAAGGAUAUGAAAGAGCUCAAAUGGCCAUCAAGGAUGAAGUCCACUUCUAAGCCCCGGGACAUGAACAAAUAUUGUGAUUUUCAUCAAGACCAUGGACAUACCACAGAGACAUGCAAAGCCUUACAGCGCGAGAUCGAGUCUUUGAUCAAGAGAGGAUUCCUAGGGGUAUAUGUCGGUCAAGACAAGCAUUUGAGGAAUGAUCAUAACUAGGCAAAUACCUUAGGGACUGGGGACAGCAAUGGACUAACGACGGGAACAAUCAAUGUCAUUGUCUAGAUGGUCAAUGUCAUAAAUCUAAUGUACCAAGGUCUUACAUAUUUUUAUGCCCCAUUUAUUUUCAUUUCGUAAUUGGUAGGGCCUGCGCGCCCGUUUUAUCUUUUAGCUGGUCGGGUCUAUGUGCCCAUAUUAAUUUGUUAGUUGGUCGGGUCUGCGUGCCUAUACUUUUCAACUUAUUUCGGUUAGGUGUCAGGAUGCCAUCCCAAUAAAAAUCUACUCUUCUAGCCCAU
rnacentral:lncRNA from 1 species